AUUGAACGCUGGCGGCAUGCUUUACACAUGCAAGUCGAACGGCGGCGCGGGCUUCGGCCUGGCGGCGAGUGGCGAACGGGUGAGUAAUACAUCGGAACGUGCCCAGUAGUGGGGGAUAGCUCGGCGAAAGCCGGAUUAAUACCGCAUACGACCUGAGGGUGAAAGCGGGGGAUCUUCGGACCUCGCGCUAUUGGAGCGGCCGAUGGCAGAUUAGCUAGUUGGUGGGGUAAAGGCCUACCAAGGCGACGAUCUGCAGCUGGUCUGAGAGGACGACCAGCCACACUGGGACUGAGACACGGCCCAGACUCCUACGGGAGGCAGCAGUGGGGAAUUUUGGACAAUGGGCGAAAGCCUGAUCCAGCAAUGCCGCGUGUGUGAUGAAGGCCUUCGGGUUGUAAAGCACUUUUGGCGGGAACGAAAAGGACUGUGCCAAUACCACGGUUCGAUGACGGUACCCGCAGAAUAAGCACCGGCUAACUACGUG
rnacentral:rRNA from 1 species